rnacentral:lncRNA from 1 species
GUCCUAUGACCUGCCUCAUAAAUAACUUACUGCAAAAAUAAAACAUGGAAAUGUCAAUAUUAUCAUAGUGUGACUCGACUGUCAUAUUUAACAAAGGAUUCCAAAUAAAUAAAUAAAUAAAUAAAAACAAUACAUAAGCAUGUCUGUAAUGAUAUAUACCAAGACAAUUUGACAUAUCCAGGACAUGUCAGCUUUAUUGGGCAAAUUUUAUGGCCAUUUCUUUAGGAUUUAAAGGUGCUGGUAACUUGGUCUGAAUGCCCAUAUGAAUGUAUACUAUCUUUUUGCAAGGGAAAAGGCCAAAUGGAGGGAGACCUUGGUAUUUGGUAACUCUGGAAGUCUGCUGUAAUAGCUUAGUAACAGUUUAGUCAACAUCCAUCCUCUGCUAAAUAAAACUAUCCUCUACUCAUAAAUUCCAUCAUCUGCUAAAAGUGGUUUUAUCACAGGGUUGGAGCACCUCUCUGAUGAAGAAAGGGAGAUUCUGCACUGAACCUUUGUCCAUGUAUCUGACCAACUUGCUAGAUGGCCAGAAGGCACAGGGCUGGAAAAAAGGAAACUGCCCUAUCAAGCAAACUGUGGGUAGGUGCAGUCUCUGUGAUUUGAUUCUUAUGAUUAUCUCCUGGUAUUUGUUAGGUGACGUUUCCCAGCAAUGUUGCUUUUUUUUUAAGAGAUGGAAACAGGACAACAAAGUAAGGAAAACUGAAGCCUCUGUUCAGCUCUGA